GUCUUUGUAGUGUAAAAUAGCAUAUUAGGUUUUCGUCCUAAAGGUAUGGAGUAUAGUUUAAGUCCAUUUAAGAUU
rnacentral:tRNA from 1 species